rnacentral:rRNA from 1 species
UUGACCUCAAAUCAGGUGGGACUACCCGCUGAACUUAGGCAUAUCAAUAAGCGGAGGAAAAGAAACUAACAAGGAUUCCCUUAGUAACUGCGAGUGAAGUGGGAAGAGCUCAAAUUUGAAAUCUGGCAGUCUCUGGCUGUCCGAGUUGUAAUCUAGAGAAGUGUUGCCCGCGCUGGACCGUGUACAAGUCUCCUGGGAUGGAGCGUCAUAGAGGGUGAGAAUCCCGUCUCUGACAUGGACUACCAGGGCUUUUGUGGUGCGCUCUCAAAGAASGUCGAGUUGUUUGGGAAUGCAGCUCAAAAUGGGUGGUAAAUUCCAUCUAAAGCUAAAUAUUGGCGAGAGACCGAUAGUGAACAAGUACCGUGAGGAAAGAUGAAAAGAACUUUGGAAAGAGAGUUAAACAGUACGUGAAAUUGCUGAAAGGGAAACGCUUGAAGUCAGUCGCGUUGGCCAGGGAUCAGCCUUGCUUCUUAGUGUGGUGUACUU